CCCAUUGUGGCGCAGUGGUUUGAGUACUGGACUACAAAUCUGGAGACCUGGGUUCAAUUCCCUGCUUGGCC